rnacentral:rRNA from 1 species
GGGGCAUCACAUGAAGUAGCAAUACGGAUGGUGGCGACCGGCGCACGGGUGAGUAACACGUAUGCAACCUGCCUUCAACAAGGGGAUAACCCGUUGAAAGACGGACUAAUACCCUAUAACACAGGGGCCCCGCAUGGGGAUAUUUGUUAAAGAUUAAUCGGUUGAAGAUGGGCAUGCGUUCCAUUAGCUAGUUGGUGGGGUAAUGGCCCACCAAGGCAACGAUGGAUAGGGGAACUGAGAGGUUUAUCCCCCACACUGGUACUGAGACACGGACCAGACUCCUACGGGAGGCAGCAGUGAGGAAUAUUGGUCAAUGGACGCAAGUCUGAACCAGCCACGUCGCGUGAAGGAAGACGGCCCUACGGGUUGUAAACUUCUUUUGCAAGGGAAUAAAGUGAGUCACGUGUGACUUUUUGCAAGUACCUUGCGAAUAAGGAUCGGCUAACUCCGUGCCAGCAGCCGCGGUAAUACGGAGGAUCCGAGCGUUAUCCGGAUUUAUUGGGUUUAAAGGGUGCUCAGGCGGGCGAUUAAGUCGGCGGUGAAAUUUUGCGGCUCAACCGUAAAAGUGCCUUCGAAACUGGUUGCC